rnacentral:rRNA from 1 species
CCCUUAGAUGUCCUGGGCCGCACGCGUGCUACACUGACGCCUACAGCGAGCACUUUCCAGCCCCGAGAGGCGGCUGGUAAUCAGCAAUAGGCGUCGUGAUGGGGAUAGAUCUUUGGAAUUAUGGAUCUUGAACGAGGAAUGCCUAGUAAGCGCAGGUCAUUAGCCUGCGCUGAUUAAGUCCCUGCCCUUUGUACACACCGCCCGUCGCUCCUACCGAUUUCGAGUGGCCCGGCGAAUCUUUCGGACUGCGCGCGGCCUUGAGUCGUGUCGCGGAAAGUCAGGUAAACCUUAUCACUUAGAGGAAGGAGAAGUCGUAACA